GCUAAGGCCGAUGGCGACCGGCGCACGGGUGAGUAACACGUAUCCAACCUGCCGUCUACUCUUGGACAGCCUUCUGAAAGGAAGAUUAAUACAAGAUGGCAUCAUGAGUCCACAUGUUCACAUGAUUAAAGGUAUUCCGGUAGACGAUGGGGAUGCGUUCCAUUAGAUAGUAGGCGGGGUAACGGCCCACCUAGUCUUCGAUGGAUAGGGGUUCUGAGAGGAAGGUCCCCCACAUUGGAACUGAGACACGGUCCAAACUCCUACGGGAGGCAGCAGUGAGGAAUAUUGGUCAAUGGGCGAGAGCCUGAACCAGCCAAGUAGCGUGAAGGAUGACUGCCCUAUGGGUUGUGAACUUCUUUUAUAAAGGAAUAAAGUCGGGUAUGGAUACCCGUUUGCAUGUACUUUAUGAAUAAGGAUCGGCUAACUCCGUGCCAGCAGCCGCGGUAAUACGGAGGAUCCGAGCGUUAUCCGGAUUUAUUGGGUUUAAAGGGAGCGUAGAUGGAUGUUUAAGUCAGUUGUGAAAGUUUGCGGCUCAACCGUAAAAUUGCAGUUGAUACUGGAUAUCUUGAGUGCAGUUGAGGCAGGCGGAAUUCGUGGUGUAGCGGUGAAAUGCUUAGAUAUCACGAAGAACUGCGAUUGCGAAGGCAGCCUGCUAAGCUGCAGCUGACAUUGAGGCUCGAAAGUGUGGGUAUCAAACAG
rnacentral:rRNA from 1 species